UCCCGUACAAUCACUGAAGUUAAGCAACAUCGAGCUUGGUCAGUACCUAGAUGGGUAACCGCUUGGGAAUAACAGGUGCUGUAA